CUUUCCAAGCCUGGAUGCAAGCUUCUGCUCAGAGGGUUCUGAGAGGGUCUGACCCAGGCUCGGGGCUCGAAACGCCGUUGCCCAGAGGAAAGGAGGGUUCCGUCGUAAAUCAGUGUGUUUCUCAGGCUGUAAAUUGAGAAGGAACAAAGGGCAUCAGGAAUGACGAGAAGUCAGCGUGUAGAUCCUCCGAUCGGCUCUGGGAGAGCACUGAAUAUAGAUCCUCCGAUCGACUCUGGGUGGGGACUGAGCCUCUUUCACCGUUGCACAGAAAGGGCCAGGCUCCCCAACCUCCCCAUCACCUGCCGUCAGCAGUGAGCACACAGCCUCCCUCUGCUGACCACAUCCGGGGUCUGGAGGCCCUGCGGCCGGGAAGUCCGCCAGCCCUUCCACUGGACACGUCCUCAACUCUGCCCCUGGGGGAUGGGAGGCUCACAACCCUCCUCAGAAAACAGGACUCUGAGUGGCCCACCAAACAGUUCAACAUCAUUGAACUGUCGAUGGGCCGGGAGAGCCCAAGGGGACUAUCAGAGCCGGGGAGGAGCCCUCUCCCCCUGAUUACAGAACAGCCAGGAGCGCGUGGGCCCAGGAGGAGAGGGUUUGCUCCCCAGACGCCAGCGCAGCACGAAGGGGCCGCGAUCAAGACGGCAAGACGUGGGGGAGAAGAGGAGACAGACCCGCCGGGCAGAAUGAAGCGCCGAUCAGACCCCUGCACACGCGAGACAGGCUCACAUCCGACAGAAGCUGGAUUUAAAAUCAGAAGCGAAGACAGAUUAUUUAGUAAAGAGCUUCAUUCCCAAAUCGCAUCUUACAGCAAAAGAAGCUUUGAAUGGAAUACAGAGAGUUAUGUACAGAAAGACUAAAAAGCCACACAGCUGAAUGCUGACCUGUCCCAGCUGAAGGCUGACCUGUCCCAGCUGAAUGCUGACCUGAUCCCUAGUAGGGACAGUGGCCCUGAGAGAAGUCACAAAAAAACGCAAUCGUGAAAGACCGGUGUGCAGGACUGUGUGAGCAUCCGAAAGUUUCUGCAUUAAGAAGAGCACUGGUUAAAGUGAGAAAUGAACAAUAAACCAGGAGGCAAGAGCUUAACAUGACAGGCAAGUGGUUAACAUUCCAGGUCAAGCUCUGAAUAAACCAGACUGUAUCACUAGCUGUGUGAGCGUGUGUGGCUGAUUGAACCUUCAUAAGCUUGUAUCACUUUAAUGGGGAUAAUAAUUGAUUAGCCCUCAGCAGACAGUGAGGAUCAAAAGAG
ensembl:lncRNA